CUUUGCCUUCUAGGGAGCAGGGACCAAGGACAAAGUGUGAAGUUGAAAGUGUGCUUUUAUGUGGGGAUGAAUCUUUAUGAAAGUAUCUCUUACAUUUUAAGAGACUGGAAGUUCCUGGACCACCCAGCCAGAAUUAAUGAACCAUGAGUUCAUUUAAGAUGUAAGACUGCCUUCCAACUGUGCACUCAGCCACUUUGUUCAACCUGCUUUUAAUACAGUCAUGUAACAAUCAACCUUACUUGUCUUGGACUGGACUCACCGUGUAAUCAGCUUUUGAAACCUAAGCUCUUCCCUCCCAAUAUCAAGUGCUCGCUAAGAAGGAAGGAAGGAAGGAAGGAAGGAAGGAAGGAAGGAAGGAAGGAAGGAAGGAAGGAAGGAAGGAAGGAAGGAAGGAAAACAGUCUGCAUAUUGAUGUUCAGUGCCUGGGCAUCCAUGAAAGCAAGGGUAGCCUCUCUCUCUCACACAAAGAUUGGAUCCUGGAACCUGACACUUCCUCUAACAGAAGUCAGAAAUGAGCAACAACUCUUCAGCUGGAAGUGGGACUUCCUGAUGACCUCUACUCUGCUUGAGUUAUGCCUUCCUGAGCAGGAUUUGUGUGUUCGGUUGUAACAAGUGAACUCACAAGUGCAAGUGCCCUGUUCUUUCUGAACAAAUCCUGUUUUCUUGGAAUCAUCUACCACCUCUAGUUCUUACACACUUUCGACCUCUUCUUCGAUGAUGACCCCUAAGUCUUGAGAGGAAGAGCUGUGAUAUAGAUGUCCCAAUUUUUCUGGGCCCUCCAGAGUCUCUUAUUUUCAGCAACUUGAAUGAUUGUGGGAUUCUGUGUUAAUCACCAUAGACUGCAAAAAAGAAGUUGCUCUGAUGAGGGUUGAGGGAUAGACUAAUCCCCGGUAUAAAAAGUAAGUGUUUAUUGGGCAGUUCAUUACUAUGUCCUUUUAGCUGAGUAAUAGUAUGAAGAAGUAUAUUCUUCUCCAGGGUCUAUAUGAAGCCCAUAUUAUUGAUCCUAAUAAUUAUACCAGAAAAUGUU